CUUCAGACUUUCUGCAGUAAACACUGUGUUCUAAGAGAAAAGCCUAGUGUUUACAUUAAAGCCUAGUGAAACCUCCACUGGGCACUCCUCGGAUAGCUGCUAGAGGUGCUUCCUGUGGCAGUGCUGCACACUGUGCAGUACUGCCAUUCAGUGUCUCCACCCUCUGCAUGCAGACACUGAACUUUCCUCAUAGAGAUGCAUUGAUUUCAUUUAUCUCUCUGAAUAGAUGCUGAUUGACC